rnacentral:rRNA from 1 species
UACGGGGGGGGCAAGCGUUGUUCGGAUUUACUGGGCGUAAAGGGCGCGUAGGCGGCCCGCCAAGUCACUUGUGAAAUCUCCGGGCUUAACCCGGAGCGGGCAAGUGAUACUGACGGGCUGGAGUGCGGAAGGGGCCACCGGAAUUCUCGGUGUAGCGGUGAAAUGCGUAGAUAUCGAGAGGAACACCUGCGGCGAAGGCGGGUGGCUGGGCCGACACUGACGCUGAGGCGCGAAAGCCAGGGGAGCGAACGGG